rnacentral:rRNA from 1 species
UACGAAGGGGGCUAGCGUUGCUCGGAAUCACUGGGCGUAAAGGGUGCGUAGGCGGGUCUUUAAGUCAGGGGUGAAAUCCUGGAGCUCAACUCCAGAACUGCCUUUGAUACUGAGAUCUUGAGUUCGGGAGAGGUGAGUGGAACUGCGAGUGUAGAGGUGAAAUUCGUAGAUAUUCGCAAGAACACCAGUGGCGAAGGCGGCUCACUGGCCCGAUACUGACGCUGAGGCACGAAAGCGUGGGGAGCAAACAGGGAUUAGAU